rnacentral:rRNA from 1 species
AACGAACGCUGGCGGCAUGCCUAACACAUGCAAGUCGAACGAGCCCUUCGGGUCUUUUGGCGUCUGGGUUUGUCACGCGUCGGAACCUUCCCUUAGGUUUGGCAUAACUCCCCGACUGGGGUGCUUACACCGGAUCAUGUCUUCUGCCCAAGGAUUUAUCGCCUUUGGUUGUGCCCGCGUUGGAUUAGCUUUUUCUUACGGUAAUAGCUUACUACGGGGAGGAUCCAUAGCUGGUUUGAGAGGAUGAUCAGCGACACUGGGACUGAGACACGGCCGAGAAUCCUACGGGAAGGGGGAGUGGGGGAUAGAGGAAAGUGGGGGGAGGGCUGAAGCAGCAAUGCCGCGUGAGUGAUGAAAGCAGUAGGGAUGUAAAGCGCUAUUACCCGGGAAGAUAAUGACAGUACCGGGAGAAUAAGCUACGGCUAACUCCGUG